rnacentral:lncRNA from 10 species
GCUUAUUAGGUGAUUUUCAAUGGAAGAAUAUGUUUGAGUUCUUAAAUAGAAACCUAAGAAAAUACUUAUUCUAGAAAUUAGAAUGUGGCUAAGAAUAAAAGGGGAAACCAAAAAUAGCAGGGACGGAAGAAGCUAAGUAGACUGCAGCAUAAGGAACGCAGAAAUUCCAACUGUGUUAGGAACUUUGAAUGUCAAUUAUUCAAGCAAGACAAUAACCACCACCCUUGGUCACAAAGUGCUGGGAUUACAGGCAUGAGCCACCACACCCAGCUUUUAGUUACUUUUUAAAAUCAAUGUGCACUUAGGUUCUAAAAUUAUGCUUAAUGCCUUUAAUUCAGUCUGAAAUUACUCUCAA